AUUUUGAAUAGCCUAAAAAAAAAAAAGAAGCUUGGUGAACGAAUUGCAGCGUUACAACAUGUUUCACCCUUUGGCAAGACUGAUACAGCUUCGGUGCUUCACGAGGCUACUGGUUACAUGAUCAAGUUCAGGUUCUGUGCUCUCCAUGCCUGCAACCUUGACAAGUUCAAUUUCAAAAUAUUCUUCAUCUACUAAACUAUAUAGGACAAUUUUUGUCCCUGUUUUUUACAAUUUUGCCCUUAUAGGGGUAUUUAGGUAAAUUAGAAAAUGCUCUCUUUCCCCUAUAUAUAUGAGUUGUUGUGCCAUUUCAAUUUCUCUACUCCCACUACUUCAUUUCGUUCAUUCCCUCCCACUACCUCAUUCAUGUCUUUCAUCACUUGAGUCCGGUUCCCUUUUCUUUCUCCACAACAGGUUCGUUUGCCAUUAAUUUUCAAGGUUUCUUGGUCAUCAAGCAUAAGCUUCCGUGCGAUGACUCUUUGCAAAACAGAAAAACAUUUCAUGGUGCAGUGAGUUUUGCAGCACUUUCCCACUUUGGCUGAAUCUAUGGCUUUGAGGUGGUGACUUCAAUUGCCUUUAGUUUUAGUGGUAAUGUGGUUUUCAAGCCCUGAGCUUCUAUACCGACAAGUUCGUUAACAUGUUGCACGAUUUAGAUCUCAUGAGCGCGGAACUCUAUCUUCUGGAUAUUGAAGGCUGGCGAGCGAAAAUGCUGCUCAAUCCGAACAGUUUUGUAGGUAAUCUGAUUAUGCGCUGAUAAUUGACUUCUAUUGUUUGCUGAAUUGGGUUUCUUCUGUAUGUAUCUUAUGGAUGAAAUUAGCUUAACUUCAUGUAUGACUGUUUUGAGAAGGAAGAAAAGGGUAACUAAAUUAUAAAGGAAACAUACUUUACCAUUUUGGGUGGGAAUGUGACUAGAUAAGGGCACAUAAAUAUGUGGUUGAAUAAGUGUGUUGAAGAUCACUCAUACAAAGUUACUUUAGUAGUAAUAAUUUCAUAGGAUGAGGCAUGGAGGUGACUAGAAUGCAAUGAUUAAUCAUACUUUCAGGUCCAUGUUUCAAUUUUGGUGAAUGAAUGUACUUUGUUCCAAAUCUAUUAUAAACUAUUUUAUGUUUUGUUAUUCUAAAUAUUAAGGAGAAUGUAUUUUGGCCAUUAUCCAUCAACAAUCUAUAUUUGAAUAUUUCAUCUAUAUUGAACUUUACCUACUAUGAUAAAUAACUCUUGCAAUCCUAAGUGGGCAUGACAUGAGAAUGGUUUUUUUAUUGUUUUGAACACAGCUCCUGCCGUGGUCAGGCUUUUAGUUUGAAAGUUUACUAUUUUUUUUAUUUUGUUUCUAUUUCAAUUGUAUGAAUGGCUUAUAUUUGAGAAGCUUGAUUGUCUAAUUAAUUAGUAAUAUAUCUGUUUAAAUUUGGAUUUAACAGUUAAGAGUACUUCAUCAAUGACAUUGCUUUUGAUAUGAAGAUGCAUUUAGUUCUAUGAAAUUCAUAAGAGUUUGUUGUGCUAAAAAUUUACUUCUAUGUCAUGUUUGAAUGCUAUUAAAAUGCAAGCUUCCAUUGGAUGGAACUCAAAAGCCAAAAGAGAGUAAUCUGCAGAUAUGGACAUGACUGAUGUUAAGUGUCAAUUGAUAUUGCUAAUCAUAUUUCUUUUAGUACUGAUGAGAAAAAUAUGUGAUUUGAUGAGACAUCUUAAGGCUGGUAGUAAUAAUGUUACUAUUUAGAUUUUUAAUUCUAUGACGGCAGCGCUCGCUUUUAUAAUUUUGACUAAUAUGUAAUCGUAAUUUGCACAUUAUUGGUUCCAAUUAGUUUCAUCUUAAUUUUAAUAAUGUUUUCCUGAACUCAUGAACAAAAUAUAUCUUUUCAUGAAUCAAUACUUGGUAAAGCUUUCAUAAAUAUUUGAUAAAGAUAAAUAGUGUUUGUGCAAUAUUCAUUAAUUUGCUCAUUUUUCCUUUGGAACAUUUUUUUUACAAGAUAAAUAGGGUUAGUCCAUAAGUGAUUUCAGUCCUUUAUCUGGAAGGUGUUUACUAUGAGAGAGAGAAAUGGAAGGAGAAUAGAAAGAGGUUCAAUUGAUUCACAUAUUUGAAAUUCUGCAUUUAACCUAUGAUAUUAGAGUAUGUUUAACAAAAUAAUAAAUUACAGGGAAUAGUUUGUCUUGGCUUGGUUGAUUAGGAUAUGAAACUUGGUUGCCAUAUAUAUUGGUUUUUUUUAAAUGUGUGUGAGUCCUAUAUGUUGAGGUGUGUUGAUGACGGAAGAAAUCAAAAGUAUACUGUGAGAAUUAGAGUUGGGUUUGAAUAUGCUUCAGUUCAGUUUAUGAUAAAAAUGGGUUUAUGAAAUACACUAUUGAUAAUAGUUCAAUGUAAAUUGAAAAAAAUUUGAGUAGGCAGAUUAUACAAACUAAAUUUUGUUGACAAGUAGUUGUAGAUAGUGAUCCUAUGAUAGAGGUGGUUUGAGUGGCUUGGAUUUCUGACUAUGCUAUUGGGUUAUUUGAAAUGUAAAGUGCAUACAAGGAUUGGUUAUAGCAAGUGAAGAAGCUAAAAGUUAAAUACAUUGUAAAGCUGGGAUUUUUUUUUUUUUUGCUUCUGCUUGCUAGAAACAAGGGGUGUGUGAUAUAUUCUACUAUUGAUGAUUUGAUGAGCAUACAAAUUCUACUGUCAUGUUUUGAUGUAAACAAUUAGGCUAAGUAGCGCUGCCGGCUCAAAAACCAUAGUUGAUGUCUAUUAUUGAACUGCGUGAAUAGAAAGUAUGACUAGGCAUAUAAGAUGGUUGGCAUUUAACUUGAACACCAGAAGUGACUGAUGCUUUUGUAGGUGCAAUGUACAGAAAUGAAUAAAAUCACUAAUUGAUGCUUUUGUUUUGAUUGUUGAGUUUGAUGUUGAUCUGUUUUUAUAGGCUGCAGUUGCACAUUUUCUAAAUAGAUAUAAAAAUGUGGCAUCGUAAUUGGAUUUGUUUUAGGUUUUUCUUGAUGAAUAUUUGGGUUUUGUUUGUG